UUGAACGCUGGCGGCAGGCCUAACACAUGCAAGUCGAACGGUAACAGGAUGAAGCUUGCUUCUUUGCUGACGAGUGGCGGACGGGUGAGUAAUGUCUGGGAAACUGCCUGAUGGAGGGGGAUAACUACUGGAAACGGUAGCUAAUACCGCAUAACGUCGCAAGACCAAAGAGGGGGACCUUCGGGCCUCUUGCCAUCGGAUGUGCCCAGAUGGGAUUAGCUAGUAGGUGGGGUAACGGCUCACCUAGGCGACGAUCCCUAGCUGGUCUGAGAGGAUGACCAGCCACACUGGAACUGAGACACGGUCCAGACUCCUACGGGAGGCAGCAGUGGGGAAUAUUGCACAAUGGGCGCAAGCCUGAUGCAGCCAUGCCGCGUGUAUGAAGAAGGCCUUCGGGUUGUAAAGUACUUUCAGCGGGGAGGAAGGGAGUAAAGUUAAUACCUUUACUCAUUGACGUUACCCGCAGAAGAAGCACCGGCUAACUCCGUG
rnacentral:rRNA from 1 species